rnacentral:rRNA from 1 species
UACGUAGGGGGCAAGCGUUGUCCGGAAUCAUUGGGCGUAAAGAGCGUGUAGGUGGCUCGGUAAGUCCGCUGUGAAAGUCCAGGGCUCAACCCUGGAAAGCCGGUGGAAACUGUCGAGCUUGAGUCCGGAAGAGGCGAGUGGAAUUCCUGGUGUAGCGGUGAAAUGCGCAGAUAUCAGGAGGAACACCAAUGGCGAAGGCAGCUCGCUGGGACGGUACUGACACUGAGACGCGAAAGCGUGGGGAGCAAACAGG